UUCUGACAGGUGGGGAAACGGAGGAGAAGAGGGACUGUCACCGCGAGCAGACAAGCUGGGAGCGACGGCGGCCCAGCCCCUGCCGAGCCUGCGAGGCCCCAAGCAUCAGACCUGGAGGCAGUGGGGCCGGAAGCGCCUUUAUUCCUGUUGUAACUACAAGAAGCCACAGUUCAGGGUGCGCCUGGAAAACUCCCAGGAUCCCAGCGACGGGGGCAUGAGCCCCUCCAUCCGACUGGGGAGCCGGACGGCCGGACCAGAGACCGGCCAGCAAGCCUUUGCUUUUCACGUCCCUGCUGGAGGUCCCACGCUCUCUCUCCACCUCCCUCGCUUCCUGACCAGAGGACAGAAAAAACGAGGAGGGAGCAAGACCUCCCUGGGCAGGCUCAGCCCUGCUGCUCGGCUCUUUGAAGAUGCGCUGCCCUGCUUGAGCUGAAUCCCACCUCUGAUGGCAGCU